rnacentral:rRNA from 1 species
CAGUCGCACGAACCUUUCGGGGUUAGUGGCGGACGGGUGAGUAACGCGUAGGAAUCUGUCCACGGGUGGGGGAUAACUCUGGGAAACUGGAGCUAAUACCGCAUGAUACCUGAGGGUCAAAGGCGCAAGUCGCCUGUGGAGGAGCCUGCGUUCGAUUAGCUAGUUGGUGGGGUAAAGGCCUACCAAGGCGAUGAUCGAUAGCUGGUUUGAGAGGAUGAUCAGCCACACUGGGACUGAGACACGGCCCAGACUCCUACGGGAGGCAGCAGUGGGGAAUAUUGGACAAUGGGGGCAACCCUGAUCCAGCAAUGCCGCGUGUGUGAAGAAGGUCUUCGGAUUGUAAAGCACUUUCGACGGGGACGAUGAUGACGGUACCCGUAGAAGAAGCCCCGGCUAACUUCGUGCCAGCAGCCGCGGUAAUACGAAGGGGGCUAGCGUUGCUCGGAAUGACUGGGCGUAAAGGGCGUGUAGGCGGUUUGUACAGUCAGAUGUGAAAUCCCCGGGCUUAACCUGGGAGCUGCAUUUGAUACGUGCAGACUAGAGUGUGAGAGAGGGUUGUGGAAUUCCCAGUGUAGAGGUGAAAUUCGUAGAUAUUGGGAAGAACACCGGUGGCGAAGGCGGCAACCUGGCUCAUUACUGACGCUGAGGCGCGAAAGCGUGGGGAGCAAACAGGAUUAGAUACCCUGGUAGUCCACGCUGUAAACGAUGUGUGCUA